AGAGUUUGAUCCUGGCUCAGGAUGAACGCUAGCGGCAGGCUAAUACAUGCAAGUCGAACGGACUGGAGUAGCAAUACUCUAGUUAGUGGCGCACGGGUGCGUAACGCGUAUGCAACCUACCUUUUAUUGGGGGAUAGCCCGAAGAAAUUCGGAUUAAUACCGCAUAACACUGUUUGAGGGCAUCUGAAGACAGUUAAAGCUACGGCGAUAAAAGAUGGGCAUGCGUGUCAUUAGCUAGUUGGUGAGGUAACGGCUCACCAAGGCGACGAUGACUAGGGGUUCUGAGAGGAUGAUCCCCCACACUGGUACUGAGAUACGGACCAGACUCCUACGGGAGGCAGCAGUAGGGAAUAUUGGGCAAUGGCCGAAAGGCUGACCCAGCCAUGCCGCGUGCCGGAUGAAGGCCUUCUGGGUUGUAAACGGCUUUUACCAGGGAAGAAACUACCUUUGCGAAGGGAACUGACGGUACCUGGGGAAUAAGCACCGGCUAACUCCGUGCCAGCAGCCGCGGUAAUACGGAGGGUGCCAGCGUUGUCCGGAUUUAUUGGGUUUAAAGGGUGCGUAGNNGGCUUAAUAAGUCCGUGGUGAAAGCCAACAGCUCAACUGUUGAACUGCCAUGGAUACUGUUAAGCUGGAGUACAGACGAGGUAGGCGGAAUGGAUGGUGUAGCGGUGAAAUGCAUAGAUACCAUCCAGAACCCCGAUUGCGAAGGCAGCUUACUAGACUGUCACUGACGCUGAGGCACGAAAGCGUGGGGAGCGAACAGGAUUAGAUACCCUAGUAGUCC
rnacentral:rRNA from 1 species